UACGUAGGGGGCAAGCGUUGUCCGGAAUUAUUGGGCGUAAAGCGCGCGCAGGCGGUUCAUUAAGUUGGGUGUUUAAGCCCGGGGCUCAACCCCGGUUCGCAUCCAAAACUGGUAAACUUGAGUGUAGGAGAGGAAAGUGGAAUUCCCGGUGUAGCGGUGAAAUGCGCAGAUAUCGGGAAGAACACCCGUGGCGAAGGCGGCUCUCUGGGACGGUACUGACGCUGAGACGCGAAAGCGUGGGGAGCAAACAGG
rnacentral:rRNA from 1 species